rnacentral:rRNA from 1 species
UACAGAGGCCCCAAGCGUUACUGAGAAUCACUGGGUUUAAAGGGUGCGUAGGUGGCGCGUUAAGUUCGUUGUGAAAUCCCUGGGCUCAACCCAGGAAUUGCUUCGAAUACUGGCGUGCUUGAGGCUAGUAGGGGUCACUGGAACUGACGGUGGAGCGGUGAAAUGCGUAGAGUAUCGUCAGGAACGCCGAUGGUGAAGACAGGUGACUGGGCUAGUUCUGACACUGAGGCACGAAAGCGUGGGAGCGAACG